rnacentral:rRNA from 1 species
AGCGAACGCUGGCGGCAGGCUUAACACAUGCAAGUCGAGCGGGCAUCUUCGGAUGUCAGCGGCAGACGGGUGAGUAACACGUGGGAACGUACCCUUCGGUUCGGAACAACUCUGGGAAACUGGAGCUAAUACCGGAAACGCCCUUAUGGGGAAAGGUUUACUGCCGAAGGAUCGGCCCGCGUCUGAUUAGCUAGUUGGUGGGGUAACGGCCUACCAAGGCGACGAUCAGUAGCUGGUCUGAGAGGAUGAUCAGCCACACUGGGACUGAGACACGGCCCAGACUCCUACGGGAGGCAGCAGUGGGGAAUAUUGGACAAUGGGCGCAAGCCUGAUCCAGCCAUGCCGCGUGAGUGAUGAAGGCCUUAGGGUUGUAAAGCUCUUUUGUCCGGGACGAUAAUGACGGUACCGGAAGAAUAAGCCCCGGCUAACUUCGUG